rnacentral:lncRNA from 1 species
UGACCGAGAAUCCUUAACAAGCCUGAAACCUCACAAAUCGAAACCUUGAGUUCGUGGAUAUCCAAAUCCUUAGGAAUCGAGUUAUUCCUAUGUCGAACCGAUGAAAACGACGAAACAGAAACCUCAAAAAAAACAAACGAUGGCAGCGGAAAACCCAGCAAAACGAGAAAACCCUAAAUCUUCAGAUAACAGCGGAACUCGGAUGAAAAUUGAUGAGGGUAACAUCGCAAGAAAAUCGGUGACAAGCAGAAUCGGAAUCUCUGCUGUGAUACCAUGUUAACAUGCCAAAAAUCACAGAUUGAUUGAGAUGAAAUCGAAGAGAAGAAUAGAGAGAGAGAGAGAGAGAGAGAGAGAGAGAGAGAGAGAGAGAGAGAGAAAGAGAACUGAGUCUCUGUAUUUUGUAAAUGUCGAUGUUUAC